rnacentral:rRNA from 1 species
GACGAACGCUGGCGGCGUGCUUAACACAUGCAAGUCGAACGGAAAGGCCCUGCUUUUGUGGGGUGCUCGAGUGGCGAACGGGUGAGUAACACGUGAGUAACCUGCCCUUGACUUUGGGAUAACUUCAGGAAACUGGGGCUAAUACCGGAUAGGAGCUCCUGCUGCAUGGUGGGGGUUGGAAAGUUUCGGCGGUUGGGGAUGGACUCGCGGCUUAUCGGCUUGUUGGUGGGGUAGUGGCUUGCCAAGGCUUUGACGGGUAGCCGGCCUGAGAGGGUGACCGGCCACAUUGGGACUGAGAUACGGCCCAGACUCCUACGGGAGGCAGCAGUGGGGAAUAUUGCACAAUGGGCGGAAGCCUGAUGCAGCAACGCCGCGUGCGGGAUGACGGCCUUCGGGUUGUAAACCGCUUUCGCCUGUGACGAAGCGUGAGUGACGGUAAUGGGUAAAGAAGCACCGGCUAACUACGUG